rnacentral:tmRNA from 1 species
AUCAGACAGCUACACAUGUAGAACUGCUCGAUGAUGGCUUACGGACGGGGGUUCAAUUCCCCCCGGCUCCACCA